UACAGAGGGGGCAAGCGUUAUUCGGAAUUAUUGGGCGUAAAGGGCGCGUAGGCGGCUUGGCAAGUGGAAGGUGAAAUCCCUCGGCUUAACCGAGGAACUGCCUUCCAGACUGCUUUGCUUGAGGCCGGGAGAGGCGAGUGGAAUUCCCAGUGUAGCGGUGAAAUGCGUAGAUAUUGGGAGGAACACCAGUGGCGAAGGCGGCUCGCUGGACCGGUUCUGACGCCGAGGCGCGAAAGCGUGGGGAGCAAACGGG
rnacentral:rRNA from 1 species